AGAGUUUGAUCCUGGCUCAGGAUGAACGCUGGCGGUAUGCCUAACACAUGCAAGUCGUACGAGAGUUUUUAACUCUAGUGGCGGACGGGUGAGUAACACGUAAGAAUUUACCUUCAGGAGGGGGAUAACAAUUGGAAACAAAUGCUAAUACCCCAUAUGCUUUCGAGUGAAAUGGAUUUAUAUUUAUCCGCCUAAAGAGAAGCUUGCGUCUGAUUAGCUUGUUGGUAAGGUAAAAGCUUACCAAGGCGACGAUCAGUAUCUGGUUUGAGAGGACGAUCAGACACACUGGAACUGAGACACGGUCCAGACUCCUACGGGAGGCAGCAGUGGGGAAUUUUCCGCAAUGGGCGAAAGCCUGACGGAGCAAUACCGCGUGAGGGAAGACUCC
rnacentral:rRNA from 1 species